AAACGUGUCAAAAUCAGCCUCAGUGCAAUAUAUAAACCGAAAAUAAUUCACACAGACCACAGUGAAGAUUAAUCUGUAAAACGGAAAUCAGUAUGAAGUUGUUGGUUGUAGUAUGUGCUCUAGUAGCAGUAACAUGGGUUGGUAGAUCAGAAGGAUAUGCAUGUCUACCAUGUUCUGAAAUAACCUGUGAUGAUUUACCAACAACUGAUUGUGAGCCAGUUUCUGAUGUGUGUGGUUGUUGUCAAUUGUGUGCGACUAAAGAAGGCGAGUCUUGUGGCAUGUACAGUCCAAGUUGUGAAUCUGGUACAACCUGCUUGUAUCCCGAACUAUCAGCUGGAGAGGAUGGAAGCGAGUAUAUAUACUCUUACUGGGGAACAUGUAUCAGGUCUAAAAAAUAAAGACAAGUAUACACUGGAAUAAAACACAUUAUAAAUUA